AAAGGAAUAGACGGGCACCCGCACAAGCGGUGGAGCAUGCUGUUUAAUUCGAAGAUACGCGAAAAACCUUACCUAGACUUGACAUCCCCGGCAAAGCUAUAGAAAUAUAGUGGAGGUUACCCGGGUGACAGGUGGUGCAUGGUUGUCGUCAGCUCGUGUCGUGAGAUGUUCGGUUAAGUCCGAUAACGAGCGCAACCCUUAUUACUAGUUACUAACAUUUAGUUGAGUUCUCUAGUGAGACUGCCGGUAAUAAACCGGAGGAAGGUGGGGAUGACGUCAAAUCAUCAUGCCCCUUACGUCUAGGGCUACAGGCGUGCUACAAUGGCCGAUACAAAAAGAAGCAAUACCGUGAGGUGGAGCAAAUCUCUAAAAUCGGUCCCAGUUCGGAUUGGAGUCUGCAACUCGACUCCAUGAAGUUGGAAUCGCUAGUAAUCCUGAAUCAGAAUGUCAGGGUGAAUACGUUCCCGGGUGUUGUACACACCGCCCGU
rnacentral:rRNA from 1 species